AACCUUAUGGACCUGCGGGCGUAUACCUGCGGAGGGAUCAUUACAGAGUUCAUGCCCUCACGGGUAGAUCUCCCACCCUUGAAUACUAUACCUUUGUUGCUUUGGCGGGCCGCUUUGGCUACUGGCUCUGGCUAGUAAGUGCCCGCCAAAGAACCCCAAAACUCUGAAUAUUAGUGUCGUCUGAGUACUAUAUAAUAGUUAAAACUUUUAACAACGGAUCU
rnacentral:misc_RNA from 1 species